rnacentral:rRNA from 1 species
GUCCAGACUCCUACGGGAGGCAGCAGUGGGGAAUAUUGCACAAUGGGGGAAACCCUGAUGCAGCGACGCCGCGUGAGUGAAGAAGUAUUUCGGUAUGUAAAGCUCUAUCAGCAGGGAAGAAAAUGACGGUACCUGACUAAGAAGCCCCGGCUAACUACGUGCCAGCAGCCGCGGUAAUACGUAGGGGGCAAGCGUUAUCCGGAUUUACUGGGUGUAAAGGGAGCGUAGACGGCAUGGCAAGUCAGAUGUGAAAGCCCGGGGCUCAACCCCGGGACUGCAUUUGAAACUGUCAGGCUGGAGUGCAGGAGAGGUAAGUGGAAUUCCUAGUGUAGCGGUGAAAUGCGUAUAUAUUAGGAGGAACACCAGUGGCGAAGGCGGCUUACUGGACUGUAACUGACGUUGAGGCUCGAACGCGUGGGGAGCAAACAGGAUUAGAUACCCUGGUGC